UGCGGGGGGGGCAAGCGUUGUUCGGAAUUACUGGGCGUAAAGGGCUCGUAGGCGGCCAACUAAGUCAGACGUGAAAUCCCUCGGCUUAACCGGGGAACUGCGUCUGAUACUGGAUGGCUUGAAUCCGGGAGAGGGAUGCGGAAUUCCAGGUGUAGCGGUGAAAUGCGUAGAUAUCAGGAGGAACACCGGUGGCGAAGGCGGUUCUCUGGGCCUGUACUGACGCUGAGGAACGAAAGCGUGGGGAGCGAACAGG
rnacentral:rRNA from 1 species